rnacentral:rRNA from 1 species
AUGGUAAACCCUGUUGAUGCACCUAAACCCUAUCAAUGGAUAUGGAAAUCAUGCUCUUUACCAAAGCAGAAAUUCUUCUUCUGGCUCUUGUUACAAGACAGAUUAAACACUAGAGAUCUACUAAAAAGGAAGAAUUUCUACAUUGAGACUAGUAAGUGUGAAUUAUGUGAUGAUGAACCUAAUGAACAUUUAAUGCAUCUGUUUUUUAGCUGUGAUUUCAGUCAAAACUUCUGGAUGAACAUUGGCUACCAAUGGAACACUGAUCAUAACCUCAUAGAAAUGCUCCUGGAGGGAAGGAAGCAAGAUACACAUGGAUGCUUUAAAGAAUGUCUGAUUGCUGGAUGCUGGAGUCUAUGGAAACACAGAAAUAGCAUAAUUUUUGACAACAAGGUCAAAAAUAUGACAUUCUGUAUUGCCACUUUCAAGGAGAACUUUUGCAUGAUUAUAAAGAAGGCAAAACCAGGAUUGAAAGAGGGCAUGCAAAGCUGGCUAGAUCAUUUGUAG